AAGUCGUAACAAGGUUUCCGUAGGUGAACCUGCGGAAGGAUCAUUAACACGUAUCCAACGUUAAACAACCCUGUGAACCUUCAUACGCGAGCUCUCCAACUGGCCGUGUCAAGCAAUUCCUGGUAAAUCACGCAGUCAGUUUGAUUCAGGGACCUCUUGAUGCUUGUGACUCUUGGAUUUGAUGCGGUGUUCGUAACGCUAGACUUGGUUUCCUCACGGAUAACUGCCCUUUAUCGGUCAGAUCAUGCGAUCCUCACGGUCGUGUGAACAAGUCUCUGAAAGUCCCCCAAAUAUUCACUUAAUAAUUCAUUUCGGCGAUGCUUAGACGCUCGCACCAAAAACCGAACAACUGUUAACAAUGGAUAUCUUGGUUCUC
rnacentral:misc_RNA from 1 species